CUGACCACAUAUAUAUGGAGUUUAGUGGAAAAAAAAGGCAUGAAGAACCUCGGGGUAAGACAGGAAUUAGGACACAGACCUACUAGAGAAUGGACUUGAGGAUACGGGGAGGGGGAAGGGUAAGCUGGGACAAAGCGGGAGAGUGGCAUGGACAUAUAUACACUA